ensembl:lncRNA
AGGAAAAGGCAGAGAAGGGCCUCUCAGGGAGGUGAGGUCACAGGAGUGAGGGCCCAGAAGGCACAGUGGGCAGACCCUUGUGUUGGGGACUCAGGGAAGGUCUCAGUGGGGUGCCCGGCUGGAGGGGUCUGGGCCUGGGCCCGCACAGAAGAUCCCCUACUCCUGCCCCAGGACUUGAGGCGUGGGCCUUAUGAAUCAGCAGCUGGGACUGCAGCCAGAGGAAGGAUGCCUCUCUGUCCCUGGCAGGGUAGGGCAGGGCUGGGAGAAAUCUCCCAAUUAUAAAUUUAAGAAAACACAAGUCAAGCAGCUGAGGGCUCCGUUCCUACCACUCAAGCCCCACACCCAGCUCCCCGGGAGCCCAGCUGCUGAGGGCACCUCCAGCAGGUCCGAGACACAGACCAGCCUCCUCUGCAGGGGACGACGGGAAGGGGGGUGCAGCACGGUCACCUGGGAUGGCACCAGCCCCGCUGACUCAAACCCUAGGACUCCAGGAACUUCUCAGAGGAGAGGAACAAAUGGGUUCUGUGGAGGCAUUUUCCUCACAGAAGGACCAAGAACACUGGUUGUGGAGUCAGAAGACCAGAGUUCAGAUCUUAAUCUUCCACGGUUGCCAACAGACUCGUGCUCAGGGGCAGGAAGUGCCAGAAGUGGACACAGAAAGGAAGAGAGGAAACCCAUCCACUGGAAAGCCUCCGCAGUCGGGGGCUCUUCGGUGAGGGGACCAAGAACCUCACUUACCCUGACUCCCCCUGAAAACACCAUUGCAUCGCGGUAGAGUCACUUUUCUCCAUAACGACAAUCCAAGACAUGGUGCCAAGGCGAAAAGCACAUUUACCGUAUUGUUCUCUAGGCAGAGAAAUAAACAGAAGACUGCAGACGCUCACGUGACUUGCUCAUUCACUGCUGAAGGAAGUUCUCCGGGGCAGGUCGGCCCCUGAAGAAAGGCCUAUAGUUCUUCGAGGGUCAGUGCAACUCAGGAGGUGCCCAAGAGGGACUCUGAGUGCGGCCACGGGUCAGGCCAAGCUCGCCAGCGUGGUUACUGGUAACGAGGGAGGAGUUCUGCUCUCUGGGGUCCAGCUCUCAAGCAGUUCAAGACCCCAGGAGAGGAAAAGAGAAGAAAUUAUGUAGUGGCCAUCUAAAGCUUAAGAAUAGCUACGGUUACCAUUAAAGAAAAAACUUUAAAGGGGUGCGGCCCAGUUACCCGGAAAGAGUCGAUUCAUUCCUUCUAUGAUACCAGAUAAAGAGAUAGUUUACUUCCUUUCCUGUUUCAAGAGGGCCCCCAGCCCUCAGAUUCCAGGAAAUUGGCAGUAACUCUGUCCAUAGCUGCAGUUUCCUUACUUUUAGUGACAGCCCCUUGGGCUGCUUAAACAACGGCCCCCCUCUGAGAGCUGGGGGACACUGUCUGGCAGGGCUGUCCCAGGGAAGCAGGCCUGGGGAGGCCUUGGUGGCCCACAUCUGCCACCUGAUCUGACCGGCAAAGGAGACCUAACCCAGCGGAAGCUCCCAACUCCCUCAGAGUUCACGCCAAGGUAGCCCUUAGAGAAGAAACAAUGAGGCCAUCCUAACCUUCAACAUUCAGAGGGCAUUCUCACAACCGCUAUUUUUCUGUGUGGCAG